GGGUUCUAAUCUUCAGGCAGAUGACAAGAGUUCUAGAUAUUUUGGAAGAUUACUGUAUGUGGAGAAAUUACGAAUAUUGCAGACUGGAUGGACAAACUCCUCACAAUGAGCGACAGGCUUCCAUUAAUGCAUUCAAUGAUCCUGACAGCUCAAAAUUUGUGUUCAUGUUGAGUACACGAGCAGGAGGUCUUGGAAUCAAUCUGGCUACUGCUGAUGUUGUAAUUCUCUUUGAUUCAGACUGGAAUCCACAAGUAGAUCUCCAGGCUAUGGAUCGAGCGCACAGAAUUGGGCAGACCAAGACUGUCCGUGUGUUCAGGUUUAUUACAGACAAUACCGUGGAGGAAAGGAUAGUGGAGCGUGCAGAAAUGAAACUGCGCCUGGAUUCCAUAGUCAUCCAGCAAGGCAAAUUGGUGGAUCAAAACCUGAAUAAACUUGGAAAGGAUGAAAUGCUGCAAAUGAUCAGACAUGGAGCAACACACGUGUUUGCUUCAAAGGAUAGUGAGAUUACAGAUGAAGAUAUUGAUCACAUUUUGGAAAGAGGGGCAAAGAAGACUGCGGAAAUGAACGAAAAACUUUCAAAGAUGGGUGAAAGCUCCCUUAGGAAUUUUACUAUGGAUACUGAAUCUAGCGUGUAUAAUUUUGAAGGGGAAGACUACAGAGAAAAACAGAAGUUGGCAUUUACAGAGUGGAUUGAACCCCCUAAAAGAGAAAGAAAAGCCAAUUAUGCUGUGGAUGCUUACUUCAGAGAGGCUCUUCGAGUCAGUGAACCAAAAGCACCCAAGGCUCCACGGCCUCCAAAACAGCCAAAUGUACAGGACUUCCAGUUCUUUCCUCCUCGCCUGUUUGAACUGUUGGAAAAAGAGAUUCUCUACGACAGGAAAACAAUUGGUUACAAGGUACCUCGUAAUCCUGAUCUCCCAAAUGCAGCCCAAGCACAAAAGGAAGAGCAGCUUAAGAUUGAUGAGGCUGAACCUCUUAAUGAUGAAGAACUAGAAGAAAAAGAGAAACUUCUAACCCGGGGCUUCACUAACUGGAAUAAGAGAGAUUUCAACCAGUUCCUCAAAGCCAAUGAGAAGUGGGGCCGUGAUGACAUUGAAAAUAUAGCACGAGAAGUCGAAGGAAAAACCCCAGAGGAAGUCAUUGAGUAUUCAGCUGUGUUCUGGGAAAGAUGCAAUGAACUCCAAGACAUAGAGAAGAUCAUGGCUCAGAUUGAAAGAGGAGAAGCUAGAAUUCAGAGACGAAUCAGCAUAAAAAAGGCUCUCGAUACAAAGGGCAGGAAAAAUCAUCCAACUCCUCCCAUGUUUGCCCGAAGCUUUGGUGUUGGAGCAGCCAAAGGCAAGAGGCUUCAGCAGCAGGGCUCUGCGCUGGAGGGCUCUGGUCCUGCCCACGCUGUGGGGCUGUCCUUGCUGGAGCAGCCUGGUCCCUGCCGUGCCCAAGCCCUGAGACACAGAGGGAGCCCUGUGCCCAGGGGCCUUUGGCACCUUGUCAGGAAGGUGGCAGCAGCCCCGGGAGCAGGCUGGAGGAGCAAACCUCCCAGCAGAGCCAGAUUGCAGUGGAGGCCAGAGCUGUGUUUGGAGCAGGGAGUGCUGAGAGCUGCGUCUGCCUGUGCUGCCCCAGCCUGAGCACAGGCACAGGGAACAGCCUGGGCAAAGGGAUUGGGGCAGUGGCUGAUGCCCAGGGAGAAGAACACAAACCCACAGCCCUUCAGCCUGACAGUCCCCUCCACCCAGAGCUCAGCACACAUCCUCACAGGGAAGCCCAGCAGCUGAAGGGAAAAAAAACCCACAGAAGAAAAAGCAGCCAGCAGGGAAGGGAGAAGAGGAUCCCUGUGGGAUGAGACUGCAGAGAGCGAGCAGAGGAGCAGCCUCGGGCUGGAGAAAGGCCAAGGGACCAACACGGUGGCACCAGGGCACCUGUGAGGAACAGAAUGGACACUUGGAGGCCACAUGGAGGUGAGGAGUGCAUGGUUUGGGCAAAAUGUCAGUGAAUCUCCAGAGAGAUAAGGAGGGGAUAUUUAGGAGGGAAACGCUGAGGUGAUGAGUUCACCCAGCCUGGCACAAGGUGUGUUUGCACAGGCUGGGGCCAGAGGUGGGGGUCAACCCAAAGCCAGCCCUGCUCAGCCUCUAAAUCCCAGGAUAAGAUGUACAGGCUGCCCACUGAGGGAUUAAAAAUACAUAAAACUGAAACCAAGAGCAUUAAUGAGAUUCUUGGGAAUCCCAUUAACUUGUUGGCAGAGCUCUUGACACAGUUUGGAGCUUUGAUGACAAGAAUGCAUUUCUUUAUUUGGAUUAUUCACUGUGUGGGAUAGGGGGUUUGUUUGGAUUUUAAGGCCCUCAUGGUGGCCCUGACACUGCUCAGGAGCUGGUAGAGAAGCAGAGUCAGAGCUCCUGGCAGGCACAGGGUGUUUUCCCCCAUAGUGGAUUGUGGAGCAAUUGUCUGGGACCCGGAUUGUCCCUCUGGGUGAUGCCACUUGCUGUGGUUUGUAUCAUUCCAUCCAUUUAAUUCCCAAAACUUCUCAGCCCAGGGGUUGGAGCUGACAGGGCAGGACAAAGAUUGUUCUCUGUGUGGUGCCCAGAUUUGGGGUUCCCUGUCAGCUGUGCCAGUUCUGAUGAAUUCUACCCAUAGCCCCAAAUUCCCUGCUCCAUUCCCGCUGCAGUAACCUCCCAGUGCCCCAUGGAGUGUGGGCAUUCCCAUGCAGAGCUGCUGCCUUGGACAGCAGCUGUGUCAGGAGCCAGCAGAGCUUCCAAGGAAGCUCAGCAGCACAGGGCCAAGGCCAGGGUUCUAUUCCAUAGAAGUGGCUGUUGAGAACCCUCAGCCCAGUGGUGUCCCUGGGCUCACUGGCCAGAGCUGCCUGGAAUGGAGCCCAUUUCACCCCCCUGAGCUCCAGGAUGGAGAAGAUCCAGUGGAUGGUUUAGAGCAGGAGAAGGCAGUGGCCAGAUGUGCUCCCAGCCUGAGCUGAGGCAGCCCCUGUGCCCAGGGGGGGACAUCUCUCC